GCCAUAUCACGUUAAAACACCGGUUUCCAUACGAUCAUAGAAGUUAAGCAAUAUCGAGCCUUGUCAGUACCUAGAUGGGUGACCGCUUGAGAAUGUAAGCUU